rnacentral:snoRNA from 1 species
UGCAGUCCCGUUCAAUUCAGUCCCUGCCCUCUCCAUGGCAAGGGCUGGCCAUGCAGCAUGCGGCUGCCACAGCAGAGCUGUAGUCUGUGUGCCCCACAUCCCUUCCUGUGGGACCCUGGGGACAGAAUGGUGCCACAGACAGGC